rnacentral:rRNA from 1 species
AUUGAACGCUGGCGGCAGGCCUAACACAUGCAAGUCGAACGGUAACAGGAAGCAGCUUGCUGCUUUGCUGACGAGUGGCGGACGGUUAGUCAUGUCUGGGAAGCUGCCUGAUGGAGGGGGAUAACUACUGGAAACGGUAGCUAAUACCGCAUAACGUCGCAAGACCAAAGAGGGGGACCUUCGGGCCUCUUGCCAUCGGAUGUGCCCAGAUGGGAUUAGCUAGUAGGUGGGGUAACGGCUCACCUAGGCGACGAUCCCUAGCUGGUCUGAGAGGAUGACCAGCCACACUGGAACUGAGACACGGUCCAGACUCCUACGGGAGGCAGCAGUGGGGAAUAUUGCACAAUGGGCGCAAGCCUGAUGCAGCCAUGCCGCGUGUAUGAAGAAGGCCUUCGGGUUGUAAAGUACUUUCAGCGGGGAGGAAGGGAGUAAAGUUAAUACCUUUGCUCAUUGACGUUACCCGCAGAAGAAGCACCGGCUAACUCCGUG